GACGAACGCUGGCGGCGUGCUUAACACAUGCAAGUCGAGCGGAAAGGCCCUGCUUUUGGGGGGUGCUCGAGGGGCGAACGGGUGAGUAGCACGUGAGUAACCUGCCCUUGAGGUUGGGAUAACUUAAUGAAACUGGGGCUAAUACCGGAUAGGAGCUCCUGCGGCAGGGUGGGGGUUGGAAAGUUUCGGCGGUUGGGGAUGGACUCGCGGCUUAUCAGCUUGUUGGUGGGGUAGUGGCUUACCAAGGCUUUGACGGGUAGCCGGCCUGAGAGGGUGACCGGCCACAUUGGGCCUGAGAUACGGCCCAGACUCCUACGGGAGGCAGCAGUGGGGAAUAUUGCACAAUGGGCGGAAGCCUGAUGCAGCAACGCCGCGUGCGGGAUGACGGCCUUCGGGUUGUAAACCGCUUUCGCCUGUGACGAAGCGUGAGUGACGGUAAUGGGUAAAGAAGCACCGGCUAACUACGUG
rnacentral:rRNA from 1 species